rnacentral:lncRNA from 1 species
GAAGUAGUAGGUGAGCUGCGCUCUAUCAUUUACUGUAGAAUGGAGCAAGAAUGCUGGGGCUCUGCUGACUUACUGAGGUGCCACCGUAAGAUUUUUACACUGCUACAAUGACAGGAUGUACCUGAUUGGUUUCCAGCCAUCUAGUAAACUCCACCUCAAGAAGAAGCCUCUGAUUGUCCUGAGAAGUUUGAGAGGUUGUGGUGAUGUCUAAAACUGAGACUUGCAGGCAAGUUCUCUUUGGAAACGGAAGGACACAGACUGCAAAAAGCUGGCCAAAGGAUGCAUGUGGCAAACAAAGGUAAAAAUAGGCAGACAACAUAUAGGAAAACAGCUCAUGGGUCUGUUAAUUAAGAUUAAAAUUUCCAAAUAGUAAAACUUUUUGACAACCCAAUGUCUCUAAAGCAAGUUUACAUUUUACAUCAAGACCAAGG